rnacentral:rRNA from 1 species
ACGGGAGGCAGCAGUGGGGAAUAUUGCACAAUGGGGGGAACCCUGAUGCAGCAACGCCGCGUGAGGGAAGAAGGUUUUUGGAUUGUAAACCUCUGUCUUUGGGGACGAUUAUGACGGUAUCCAGAGAGGAAGCUCCGGCUAACUACGUGCCAGCAGCCGCGGUAAUACGUAGGGGGCGAGCGUUGUCCGGAAUUACUGGGUGUAAAGGGAGUGUAGGCGGAUUUGUAAGUUGAAUGUGAAAUUUAUGGGCUUAACUCAUAAACUGCGUUCAAAACUGCAUGUCUUGAGUGGAGUAGAGGCAAACGGAAUUCCUAGUGUAGCGGUGAAAUGCGUAGAUAUUAGGAGGAACACCAGUGGCGAAAGCGGUUUGCUGGGCUCUAACUGACGCUGAGGCUCGAAAGCGUGGGGAGCAAACAGGAUUAGAUACCCUGGUA